CCUACGGGCGGCAGCAGUGGGGAAUUUUGGACAAUGGGCGCAAGCCUGAUCCAGCCAUUCCGCGUGAGUGAAGAAGGCCUUCGGGUUGUAAAGCUCUUUCGCAAGGGAAGAAAACUUAUCCUCUCACAUAGGAUGAGGUUGACGGUACCUUGAUAAGCAGCACCGGCUAACUACGUGCCAGCAGCCGCGGUAAUACGUAGGGUGCGAGCGUUAGUCGGAAUUACUGGGCGUAAAGCGUGCGCAGUCUGUUGUGAAAUCCCCGAGCUCAACUUGGGAACUGCGGUUGAAACUACAAGACUAGAAUAGGUCAGAGGGGGGUAGAAUUCCACGUGUAGCAGUGAAAUGCGUAGAUGUGGAGGAAUAUCAAUGGCGAAGGCAGCCCCCUGGGAUCAUAUUGACGCUCAUGCACGAAAGCGUGGGGAGCAAACAGGAUUAGAUACCCGUGUAGUC
rnacentral:rRNA from 1 species